AACACAAAACCCUCUCUCUCUCCUCUCCAUAGCUCGGCCGAAACAGCAAGGAAAAAGAGGAAGAAGAGCUCCACUUCAUCUUGCACCAUUUAGCUUCCAUUUCCUUCACAAAACACCAUCCAACUCACUUACUACUUGGAAAUUAACUUGAGCUUGGAGGAAGACUUCGUCUUGGGGGAUUUCUUGGAGCUUUAGUGGUGGAAAUUUCUGGUUCUUCAAGGGUUCAAGAGGCGCUCAAGAGGAUCUUGAAGAGAAUCCCGAAGCCGACCAUUAAAGAUCUUUUGCACUUACUCCCUUAUUGUGAUUUGGGGCCGAAUUGGAAAGAGUUAUGGAGAAGCCGACUUGAGGCACUUUUGAUUAGGGUUUUGAAUGUAUUUGACUAGAUAUCUUUUGGAAGUUGUAUAUUUUG